rnacentral:misc_RNA from 1 species
GAUGAAGAACGCAUUGAAAUGCGAUAAGUAAUGUGAAUUGCAGAGUUCAGUGAAUCAUCGAAUCUUUGAACGCACAUUGCGCCCGUCAGUAUUCUGACGGGCAUGCCUGUCCGAGCGUCAUUUCAACCCUCAAGCACUGCUUGGCGUUGGCGGAUUGCGUGCCCUCGCGGCGCUGCAACCGCCCAAAUACAGUGGCGGUCCCGCUGCGGCUCCCUUUGCGUAGUAACUCACCUCGCACUGGACCGGGCGGCGGCCUGCCGUAAAACCCCAACUCACGAAAUGUUGACCUCGGAUCAGGUAGGAAUACCCGCUGAACUUAAGCAUAUCAAUAAGCGGAGGA